GCUGAUGGGAAACGGGUUAAUAUUCCCGUACUUCUUAUAACUGCGAUGGAGAGACGGAGAAGGCUAUGCCUACCGGGCGUUGGUUGUCCCGGGGAAAGGCUGUAGGCUGAGGUGUUAGGCAAAUCCGGCACCUUAAGGCUGAGAGUCGAGACCACUGGUCCUUUGUGACCGGGAAGUGGUUGAUGCCAUGCUUCCAGGAAAAUCUUCUAAGCUUCAGGUUAUAAGGAACCGUACCCCAAACCGACACAGGUGGUUGGGAUGAGUAUUCUAAGGCGCUUGAGAGAACUCGGGUGAAGGAACUAGGCAAAGUGGUACCGUAACUUCGGGAGAAGGUACGCCGCUGACGGUGAUGGGAUUUACUCCCUAAGCUAUCGGCGGUCGCAGUGAAAAGGCCCCUGCAACUGUUUAUUAAAAACACAGCACUCUGCAAACGCGUAAGCGGACGUAUAGGGUGUGACGCCUGCCCGGUGCCGGAAGGUUAAUUGAUGGGGUUAGCUUCGGCGAAGCUCUUGAUCGAAGCCCCGGUAAACGGCGGCCGUAACUAUAACGGUCCUAAGGUAGCGAAAUUCCUUGUCGGGUAAGUUCCGACCUGCACGAAUGGCGUAAUGAUGGGGGCGCUGUCUCCACCCGAGACUCAGUGAAAUCGAAAUCGCAGUGAAGAUGCUGUGUACCCGCGGCUAGACGGAAAGACCCCGUGAACCUUUACUAUAGCUUCACAGUGGACUUUGAACCUGUUUGUGUAGGAUAGCUGGGAGACUUUGAAGCAGUGACGCUAGUCAUUGUGGAGUCGUCCUUGAAAUACCAGCCUGGCAUGUUUGAGGUUCUAACCUGGGUCCCUUAUCGGGAUCGGGGACAUUGUGUGGUGGGUAGUUUGACUGGGGCGGUCUCCUCCCAAAGAGUAACGGAGGAGCACAAAGGUACCCUCAGCACGGUCGGACAUCGUGCAACGAGCGUAAAGGUAGAAGGGUGCUUGACUGCGAGACCUACAAGUCGAGCAGGUGCGAAAGCAGGUCUUAGUGAUCCGGUGGUUCUGUAUGGAAGGGCCAUCGCUCAACGGAUAAAAGGUACUCCGGGGAUAACAGGCUGAUACCGCCCAAGAGUUCAUAUCGACGGCGGUGUUUGGCACCUCGAUGUCGGCUCAUCUCAUCCUGGGGCUGAAGCCGGUCCCAAGGGUAUGGCUGUUCGCCAUUUAAAGAGGUACGCGAGCUGGGUUUAGAACGUCGUGAGACAGUUCGGUCCCUAUCUGCCGUGGGCGUUGGAGAUUUGAGAGGAGCUGCUCCUAGUACGAGAGGACCGGAGUGGACGAACCUCUGGUGUUCCGGUUGUCACGCCAGUGGCAUUGCCGGGUAG
rnacentral:rRNA from 1 species